rnacentral:rRNA from 1 species
GACGAACGCUGGGGGCGUGCUUAACACAUGCAAGUCGAACGGAAAGGCCCUGCUUUUGUGGGGUGCUCGAGUGGCGAACGGGUGAGUAACACGUGAGUAACCUGCCCUUGACUUUGGGAUAACUUCAGGAAACUGGGGCUAAUACCGGAUAGGAGCUCCUGCUGCAUGGUGGGGGUUGGAAAGUUUCGGCGGUUGGGGAUGGACUCGCGGCUUAUCAGCUUGUUGGUGGGGUAGUGGCUUACCAAGGCUUUGACGGGUAGCCGGCCUGAGAGGGUGACCGGCCACAUUGGGACUGGGAUACGGCCCAGACUCCUACGGGAGGCAGCAGUGGGGAAUAUUGCACAAUGGGCGGAAGCCUGAUGCAGCAACGCCGCGUGCGGGAUGACGGCCUUCGGGUUGUAAACCUCUUUCGCCUGUGACGAAGCGUGAGUGACGGUAAUGGGUAAAGAAGCACCGGCUAACUACGU